rnacentral:rRNA from 2 species
AGAGUUUGAUCCUGGCUCAGGACGAACGCUGGCGGCGUGCCUAAUGCAUGCAAGUCGAACGAACUCUGGUAUUGAUUGGUGCUUGCAUCAUGAUUUACAUUUGAGUGAGUGGCGAACUGGUGAGUAACACGUGGGAAACCUGCCCAGAAGCGGGGGAUAACACCUGGAAACAGAUGCUAAUACCGCAUAACAACUUGGACCGCAUGGUCCGAGCUUGAAAGAUGGCUUCGGCUAUCACUUUUGGAUGGUCCCGCGGCGUAUUAGCUAGAUGGUGGGGUAACGGCUCACCAUGGCAAUGAUACGUAGCCGACCUGAGAGGGUAAUCGGCCACAUUGGGACUGAGACACGGCCCAAACUCCUACGGGAGGCAGCAGUAGGGAAUCUUCCACAAUGGACGAAAGUCUGAUGGAGCAACGCCGCGUGAGUGAAGAAGGGUUUCGGCUCGUAAAACUCUGUUGUUAAAGAAGAACAUAUCUGAGAGUAACUGUUCAGGUAUUGACGGUAUUUAACCAGAAAGCCACGGCUAACUACGUGCCAGCAGCCGCGGUAAUACGUAGGUGGCAAGCGUUGUCCGGAUUUAUUGGGCGUAAAGCGAGCGCAGGCGGUUUUUUAAGUCUGAUGUGAAAGCCUUCGGCUCAACCGAAGAAGUGCAUCGGAAACUGGGAAACUUGAGUGCAGAAGAGGACAGUGGAACUCCAUGUGUAGCGGUGAAAUGCGUAGAUAUAUGGAAGAACACCAGUGGCGAAGGCGGCUGUCUGGUCUGUAACUGACGCUGAGGCUCGAAAGUAUGGGUAGCAAACAGGAUUAGAUACCCUGGUAGUCCAUACCGUAAACGAUGAAUGCUAAGUGUUGGAGGGUUUCCACCCUUCAGUGCUGCAGCUAACGCAUUAAGCAUUCCGCCUGGGGAGUACGGCCGCAAGGCUGAAACUCAAAGGAAUUGACGGGGGCCCGCACAAGCGGUGGAGCAUGUGGUUUAAUUCGAAGCUACGCGAAGAACCUUACCAGGUCUUGACAUACUAUGCAAAUCUAAGAGAUUAGACGUUCCCUUCGGGGACAUGGAUACAGGUGGUGCAUGGUUGUCGUCAGCUCGUGUCGUGAGAUGUUGGGUUAAGUCCCGCAACGAGCGCAACCCUUAUUAUCAGUUGCCAGCAUUAAGUUGGGCACUCUGGUGAGACUGCCGGUGACAAACCGGAGGAAGGUGGGGAUGACGUCAAAUCAUCAUGCCCCUUAUGACCUGGGCUACACACGUGCUACAAUGGAUGGUACAACGAGUUGCGAACUCGCGAGAGUAAGCUAAUCUCUUAAAGCCAUUCUCAGUUCGGAUUGUAGGCUGCAACUCGCCUACAUGAAGUCGGAAUCGCUAGUAAUCGCGGAUCAGCAUGCCGCGGUGAAUACGUUCCCGGGCCUUGUACACACCGCCCGUCACACCAUGAGAGUUUGUAACACCCAAAGUCGGUGGGGUAACCUUUUAGGAACCAGCCGCCUAAGGUGGGACAGAUGAUUAGGGUGAAGUCGUAACAAGGUAACC